CCAUUGAUGGGCAUGGGGGAACGGUGCGGUGUUGACACUAUUCAUUUUACUAUAUAAACCAUCAUUGACGCGCCAGCUCCUUAUUACCCAGGAACACAGUCUGCAAUAGCAAAAUACUGUUCAGUUCGCAGCUUUAACGCUCCGACAUGGCUGUCGCUCGUCUCCUCUUUCUGCUGGCCGUGCUGGCCAGUAUGAUGGUCUUCCAGCUGGUAUCCGGUCAGUACUACGGCAGCUACUAUCCGUACACCUACAGCUACGGCUACUAUCCCUACAGCAGCUACUCGGCCUACACCUACCCCUACUACAACUACUACAGCUACUACCCGUACGCGGGACGAUAGACGGUCGGACGCCAUGGAACAACGUGGAGAACCGACGAUUAAUGUAUAUAUUCAAGCCUGAUUUAUGCACGUACAUCAGACUAUCGCUGCCAUAGGGGCGUGUAAGAAAACGCUAAAGGUCACUUAUGCUACUGCCGUAAAUUACACAUGUGUAUCGCGGGUUUAUAGCGGUGUAGUGUGCCAUGGUCUACGUACUGCGUACGUGCGUUUUAAUGUCGUUGUGUUUUAUAAACGCCAGCAAAUUAACGGCCGAUAUACCGUUCCUGUAUACGAAUAAAGUAAUCAUACCGUGA